AGGACGAACGCUGGCGGCGUGCCUAACACAUGCAAGUCGAACGAGGUCCAACCGGUGGCAACACUGGUGAAGACCUAGUGGCGAACGGGUGAGUAUCACGUGAGCAACCUGCCCCGAAGACUGGGAUAACACCGGGAAACCGGUGCUAAUACCGGAUACCCCCACCGGAUCGCAUGGUCUGGUGAGGAAAUGAAUUUUGCUUUGGGAGGGACUCGCGGCCUAUCAGCUUGUUGGUGGUGUAACGGACCACCAAGGCUUCGACGGGUAGCUGGUCUGAGAGGACGAUCAGCCACACUGGGACUGAGACACGGCCCAGACUCCUACGGGAGGUAGCAGUGGGGAAUCUUGCGCAAUGGGCGAAAGCCUGACGCAGCAACGCCGCGUGAGGGACGAAGGCCUUCUGGGUUGUAAACCUCUUUCAGCAGGGACGAUGAUGACGGUACCUGCAGAAGAAGCCCCGGCAACUACGUGCCAGCAGCCGC
rnacentral:rRNA from 1 species